CCAACUUCCAAUCCCGAAGCCAUGGCUUCCUCCUCCAAAGCCCUAGGCGAGCUCCUCCGCUCGCCGAAGCGUCUCCGCCCGAUCUCCCUCUCCCCGAAAUCAAUGACCCUCAAAUCCCCCCUCUCCACCCUCCACGCCGCUCCUCUCGCCGCCGGUGAACACCCCUCCGCACUCAUGUCGGAGCAGGCGAAGAGGGCGAAGAGGGUCGACGCCGGCCGAUCCCUUUCCCGAUCGAAGCGGAACCUCAGUAUCUGUUCCGAAAGGAUCGCGACAAGGAAAGGUACUCAUUCCGAUCCCUAUGUGAAGCUGGGAGAGCUCUUGGUCGAGGAGACAUGGCUGGAGGCUCUCCUCGGUGAGCUUCAGAAACCCUAUGCGCAGAACCUGUGCAGGUUUGUGGAGAUGGAGAUGCGCGGCAGCGUCCCUAUCUACCCUCCGCCCCACCUUAUAUUUAAUGCUCUUCAUUUGACUUCCUUUGAUGAAGUCAAAGCAGUCAUUAUUGGACAGAUUAUGUGAAGGUGGAGAAUUAUUAGAAAGAAUUUUAUCCAGAGGUGGAAGGUACUCAGAGGAGGAUGCAAAAGCUAUAGUUAUUCAAAUACUGAGUGUAAUCGCCUUUUGUCAUCUUCAAGGUGUUGUGCAUCGUGAUUUAAAGCCAGAGAAUUUUCUUUUCACCACUAGAGAUGAAAAUGCUCAAAUGAAGUUGAUUGAUUUUGGCCUUUCCGAUUUUGUUAAACCAGGUGAGCAUUGUUUAGUGGCAUGGUCUAGUUGAUUGCUUUUUUGGUGAUGUUAA